UAUCUUAAUCCUUUACAGGAUAACCCGGCAUAUUCGGUCGUCAGGCAAUACUUUGUUAACACAGACGACAGUGUCGCCCACAGAAUUGUGGUUCAUAAAGACAGCCCGAGGGGCGUCCAUUUCCGGAGAGCCGGCCCUCGUCAAAAGGUUUAUUUUGAGUCUGAUGAGGUGAAUGCUUGCAUUGUGACAUGUGGAGGGCUUUGUCCAGGCCUCAAUACGAUAAUUAGAGAGAUUGUGUGUGGCUUGUCACACAUGUACGGCGUCACAAGUAUACUUGGGAUAGAGUGGGGAUACAUGGGUUUUUACUCUCGCAAUACCAUUCCCUUGACACCCAAGAGCGUCAAUGAUAUCCAUAAGAGAGGGGGAACUGUCCUUGGGACAUCACG
rnacentral:misc_RNA from 1 species